AAAACAAAAACAAACUGAUUGCAUGUUAACAUAAGCAAUAUUGUUUCUGAAAAAUAAUUUUUUUCUAAAAAAAAAAAAGCAGUGAGAAGAGUGACAUUGCUUUACAUUUGUGUAGAUCAGCGUCUGGCUUACUAGAAAACAGCUGGGUUCUCAUAUCCGCUCUGUCAUUCAGUGUGUUGUGGUACCACGUCAUGUAGGCUCUGGGAAAUUCUGCUGUGUAUUUGUGAAAGCAUGACAAUAAAAGUGUUAGAAUUAUUAUAAAAAUAGUUUUCUCCUCACAGAUACACUAAAAAGGUCUCAGGGAUCCUGCUAGGGUCCCUUGGGACACACUUUGAGAAACACUGGAUUAAUACGUCGUGACAAGUGUUUAGUAUAACACCUUGCAUGCGGUCAUCACUGAAUAAAAAAAUUAUUACAAACAGCACUAUUUACUAGGAGAUACAGCAUCACAGGUGGUUUUCUAUACAUGUAUGGGCCAAGCUCUAGAAGGGCCCCUGUGCAACACACACACACACACAACAGAUGCUUUCACUGUUGCCACUAAGCAGUUCCAUGUCAUCCCAUCUGGCUGGGGGGAGCCCUGAAAGUGUCUGGAUGUAUCUGAAGCUGCUGUACUGGGAUGUGUGCAAUACUAAUAUGGGAAUGACGGUGGUGGACAUCUCAUCACAUAGUAGCCUUUCCUCCAAGGAGGCAAAGGACUCACCUCCCCAUCACCCAGCAGUUAUCCUCAUGGGGGAGGGAGCCAGUCCAGUCCCUCGGGAAGGCAGUGCCAGGGCCAGGAUGUGAACCUGCCUUUCUGACCUACAGCAGAGUCAGGCUAAAGAGGGCAGGCAGAGGCUUGCCAAGGGGCACAGCAGAGUGCUUCAGGACUCACAGUUGCUGGGGCUGAAUGCGGGAAACGGCCUGUCAGUUCAACCCAGGAGAUGCUAAGAUGCAGGCCAGAGUCCAUGACUUUGUCCUCCCAUCAGGGGACUUGCAGGCCAUGUGACAGUCAGCUGGCACUCCCUUGACCUUUUGGUUGAGUCCAUAAACCAUAAUGCAAGCAGUGGGCUGAAAGCUGUGGCAAGCUGCUGUGUUGGCAUGUGAUUUGGAAAGCCUAUUCACUUAGCCACCUAUUAAACACCUGGUGUGUUUUGAGUCCCCAAUCUGUUUUCUCGCUCAUCUCCCACCAAGGGAAAAGCAACACUGACCAAUCAGAAGGCAGGCUCAGUCUUGUAGUCUCAGUAGUACCGUCUUCCUUGUGGCCGAGACAGUGUCUCCAGCAUCUGCAGUGGUGUGUGCAGCCAUAGGUUGACAAUGAAAUGCAGGGAGCCAGGAUCAGGAAUCUGACCUGCACCAAGAACUGAGGGCAGAACAGACCGGCAUCUGUCUGAUGCUGAGGCUGGUGGUGCGGGAGGCCAGGAGGCGGCCAGGAGCCAGAGUGAUGCCUUGCAGGACUUGGAUGGGGCGGGGGCUGUCUAAAAUGUGGGAUGAAUGCUAAGAGUCAAAAAGUUAGUGACCGCAGGCAGAAGCUUAGAAACACACAGUAGAUGUGAAAAGUGCUCCUUGCCCGGCUUUUUAAAUGUUCUCUGAAUGCCCACAGUGGGCAGAAGCUGCUAUUCAGUCAACAAAUAGUGGUCAAGGGCUGGGCAUUGUUGUAGGUGUGUCACUAGUUACAUCAGUGAAUAAAACAGACAACAAUCCCUACCCGCAAGGAGGUUGCACUUCUGUGGGAAGAAGAAAAUAAAGGAAAGGAGAACACGAAGGAAAACAUAUAAAUAAGAUACAUAAUAUUAGACGCAGUGGGGGGAUGGAGAUAGGGUGCUUCCGGGUGGGGUUCUAGCUUUCCACUGGGGGGUUAGGGAAGGUGUUAUUGUGAAGAUAAUGUUUGAGCAGACCGGUGGGAGAUGGCGAGGUGAGUGCUGUGGAUCUGGGGAGAGGGCAUUCAAGAGAGCAGGAGGGCCAGGUGCAGAGGCCUUCAGGUAGGAGCAGGGAGGAGGUGGGCAUGGCUGGAACACAGCAGGUGUCCAGAGGUGAGGUCAGUGAGGAACAGAGGGCACUUAGGGGCUUGCAGUCAUUGUGAUAACAGUGAUGCUAACUUGGGGUGAAGUGUGAAGCUAGUGGAGGCUUUUGAGCAAAGGAGUGACUGAUCUGACUGUUUUGAAAGAGAAUCAUUGCCAGGAGCUUCUCGGGGUUGGUAGAAGUGUGUCGGUCAGUCAGGAGACUGGAUCAGUAAUCCAAGAGGCAGAUAUUAGCAGCUUGGACCAGAGUGAUAAAGGUGGAGGUGGAGAGAAGUUGCUAGAUCCUUGAUACAUUCUAGAAGUACACCAGAAAUAAUCUGCUAACAGACUGGACAUGAGGUAUGAGAGAAGGAAGAGGGAAGAUGGACUUUGUAUCUCUUGGCUUGAGCGAGUGGAAGGCUGGAGAGUCACCAUGAUCUGAGAUGGGCAGGAGCUGGUUGGGGUGGGGGAGGCUCAAGAGUUGGGGUUUGGACAUGCCAAGUUUGAGAUGCCCAAGUAGAGACUGUAGAGGUCUAGGCUGGAGCAGGCAGAAAGACCCAGGAUGUGCACAGGAAAGAGAGAAACAGCAGCAGCAGCACUUGUUUAGCCAAGUCCUACUUCAGGGAUCAAAUGCAUAAAGGAAAGGAAAUCUCAGAGCCAGCCUCUAACCCUGAGCUUAAUCCCAAAGAGCAGCAGAAUAGCCUGGGGUAUCCACUCCUCCAUCCACCCUGGUGGUACUGCAGAGCCCCUCGUGUACUCACAGGUGGCAAGAGGCAGGGCUCAAAGCUUACCUCACAGGAAUGGCUCCCAGGGAGUACAUGUAGGGUGAGGGCCCCACUGGAACUGGAAUGUACACUCCUGUAUCGUGGUGCCUCCUAAGCCUGGGGAUGCCUCUGCAAGGGCUCCAGGAGAGCUCUCAAAAAGAAGCAGGCUCUGCCUUUCUCAGAUCAGCCCUCUGGCUCUGUUGUUCCCUGGGGUCUGUCUUCAGAUGACCACAGUAAUCCAGGGAGAUGAAGUUGGCAGAUCAGAAGCCCUUGAGUAGACCUGCGGAAUGUCUGAACUGACAAGAACGGCAGAGAGCGUCCCGUCCAACUCUCCUCUUACAGGUGGGGGAACUGAGGUCCGGGAAGAUGAUGGGACUUGUCCAGCUUAGAAACUUCAUGACCUGGGGCAAAUCACUGAACGCUUACAAUCAUGCCAGGGUGACAGCAUUUUCCUAAAUGCUCUGGCUCACACAUGGCUGUGUGCUCAUGGUUCCUCCUGUUUCUCCCUAACCCUCUUCCCCAUGGGCUUUUUACUGCCAGAUCAGGGUUUGGGGAAUGAUUGGCAGCCCAGAGGUCAGCCAGCCCUUUUGGCAGUCCAGUCACAUCUCCCCACUGGCUGAUGAAGCACGGACUCCCUUGGCAGCCAGUACUUCCUCAAGAGAUAUUUUGCUUAAAACUGAUGGUCCUCCUUUGGCUUUGCUAUUCCCCAUGUCCUUGGUGGGGCAGAGAGGUAGCUCCAUCCCACGUUCUUCUCCAUUGCCAGAGUCCACCUCCACCCCAUCCCAGAGCUGUUUGCUUGCCCUAUCCCACGUUGGCUCCUUUCACUCUCUGCAAACCCUUCUGUCCUUCCCAUAGUCUGAGCUGCCUUUUUCUUGACUACUUCUUAAGCCUCUGGAUUUCUCCUUAAAUAUCAGCUCUAGGACGCCUGCCCGAUGAGCUGAGGUCAUUCCUACCCUCAAGUGACCUGAUGAAUUAAGCAACAAUACCAGGGAUUCCAGGACAGUGAGUUUGAAGAUCAGCAUCUUUGCUGGCCUGGGGGAGGCCCUUGGCCUGCUGGGGGUGGAUAGAGUGAUGCUGACCUUCUGCACAGGCUUUGGGAGGGAGUGGUUAGUUACCGCAAAUGUCUGGCUGUCUAGGUGAAGCACUCCCGACCCUCUGCCCCUCAAAUGUAGUUGUGAAUUACAGAGCUGGAAGCAGCCCACGGGGGCAUUUGUUCCACUCCUGUUCCAGGGACAAAACUUAGGCCUGGGUCUCUAAAGCCAGAGGCGUUUGAGGCUUCAUCCCAAGGCUAAAGGGGCAGAUGCCCUCUCUAUCUGGCCUUGUGUCUUCCUCUGCUUCCACCUUACUGUAGAGUGGGGGGCUGGAACGUUGGCAAGGAUCAAGGACUCCUGUACCCUAUCUCAUUCUCCUCCCACACCCCUGUCCCUUCAUUACAGAUAAUCCAACCUCUUUAUUCUGUGGUUGCUGAAUAGCAUCCCCCAGGAGACCAUCUUCCCUGCAAAUGCAGGGUGACGCUGUGGAGUCGUUUCUCUGCCAUCAUCUUUUCUCUGCUGGGGAUGCCAGAGCAUAAACCCGUGGCACAAUGGAAUGUGCCUGGCAGCGAGGAGGAAGACGCCAGGGCUCCAGUGUGCUCCCACCCUUCCUCUCUGUCAGCCUGAGUGCUCCCGCUCCCUUUGGGCCUCAGUCUCCCACAGAAAGGGAGAACCGGGUGGCCCAGCAAUCUCUGGAGCCCCUUCUGGCUCAGACCUCCUGCAGUUCUCUGUAGCCUCCUGGUUCCCAGUGUAUUUUUAAAGGAUCCUGUGUUAUUUAUCUCAGCAUCUCUGCCCCCCUCCACUGCACACUGCUCUCCGUGCAGUAAUGACAUCCAGACACCCACACUGUAUCUUAACAAUCUGAUGAGAUAAAUGCCUCCUCCUUGGGCUCCGUGGACACAGAGUAGCAAUUCUCCUAUUCUGCUAUCAAAGAGCUCUGAAACUCAGGAUACCAAGGCAGGAGGAGCAGGCAUGUGGAUUGCCAUGUGCACAUCACUGGGCAAAAACACAUUCUCCUGCCCCAAAGCCCCCCUGUUUUUCCCCAAAGCUGCCUCACUUUUUCCCUUCCUCCACCUCCAGAACAAUGCCUUUGAGCCUGCUGGCGUUUGAGAACGUGCCAAAUGGCAUUUGAGAAUGGGCGGGCGGCAUCAGGGGCAUGUGGCCUUGUUAUUUUGCACGGAGCUCCUAGUGGGAUGCACCAGCCGCUGGCCAGGUCCUGGAAAUAAUUAAGCUGAGCAUAUUGAUCUGGGGGGAUUGCAGGGCCUUGGGCAUGCUCCAACCUCCAACACCCGCUGUCAUGCUCCUUCUGCAGUGACCCUCUCGUGCUCUAGGCACACCUGUUAGAUGGAACAUGGGACUUUCAAGGUUGUCGCUGCCAGGGCUGGCAUGAUGUGCUUGCACCCCUGCUCCCUUGUAGACCCGGGAGCUGGGAAGGUGCGUUGGGUUCCAAGAGAAGCAGGAACUGAUUUGGUCUUGUAGUGAAAAUAGACCUGGCUCUGGUCUGGUAAGUGAGUGACCUCAGACUUAGUUUCCCUAGAAGCAGAAAUAGGAUAACAAUAAGUCUUCCCACUUUAAGGAAUGUUGUAAGGAUCAAGUGAGAGAAUGUGAAAUUCUCAGGAACGCUGCAAGGGAGCCUACCUGUUAAACACAGAGGCCACGGGACACAGAGGAAGGAGUAAGGGCUCUGGAGCUGGGCAGGCCAAGCCUGGGUGUGAAUUCCAGUGUUUCUCUUCAGGCUGUGCUGCCUGGGGAGGAAAUGUACUUACCUGUUCUGAGCUUUUCUUUGCUCUUCUGUAAACCAAGGGAAAAUGAAGCUACACUGACUGGUUACUCAUAAUGAUAACAGGAGUAUCUAUUAUUUAUUAAAUGUUUGUUUUGAGCCAGGGCCUUCGUUCCUUUUCUUUUUAAAACCUCCCUAAAAGUAGCCAGAUUUGUAAUCACAUAUUACUUCACAUGGACUUUGGAUGGUUUGUGUAGUGUCUCCGUGAGAGCAGGGGUUCUGGGGGCUUUGCCCAGUGCUGUAUUUCCAAAGCCCAGCACAUGCCUGGCCCACGGUGGGUGCUUAAGAGAUGUUUAUGCAGUCAAGGGAGUGCAGCUGCCUGGCAAGGAGAACCCGGGAAUUUCAUUUACCCUUCUUAUUAUUCAGUUCCUUCACCUGAAUUCUCUUAGGCUGGAGCUGAGCUUUGGGUUCAUAAUAUAUAAUUAUUAUCCCCAUUUAAAAAUGAGUAAAAUGAGGUCAGGAGAGGUUAAGUGCUGUGCCCUAGAUCACUCAACUAGGAACUAGGGAACUAAGUCUUGUUGUGCAGUACUUGUUAGAGCCUCCUUGGAAGCUUGGAAAAAGGAUGUGGGCAGGACUGGGCAGGGAGGAAACAGCUGGGCACCUACCGGAUUCACGGUCUGCCCCAAUGAGGAUACACGGAAUCCUCCCUCUCAUCACGGCCCCCAGCGAUGCUCAUUUUACAGAUGAGAAAAUGAGGCUGAGAGGGAGAAAGAACCCGAAGCUCAGCUCCAGCCGGAGAGAGUUCAGGUGGAAGAACUGAAUAAGAAGAAGGGCAAAUGAAUUUCCAGAGUUCUCUCAUCCCAGAGUAGGAUCCUCAGCCUUGCCAGGCAGCCGCACUCAGCCUCCCACCCUCUCUGAGCAGGGGGGUUGGAAUGUGUCUGCGGAGGGCAGCGAGGAGGGAGCCUGCUGGAAUUCCUUCCGUGUGGCACAUCUGGGAGGGGUAUUCCCCCUGGUGAUACUUGGGAAAUCUUGCUGGCCGGCCUCACCAGUCCUUUUUUCCACUGUUCUUUUGGUCUCGGAGCACCCGCCAAACAUCUGACACUGUUCAGGAUCGAUUGCACGUCAAAUGAAGAAUGGGUAUUUAAAAAACAGGUUUUUGUGUGUGUUUUUUCCCCCUGUUGUCAUCUAAGAAGCAGGUUUUUAGGUUCUUUGAUUCUUUCCCAGAAUAACAACCAUAUGGGGCCUCCACUUACACUGAGCAGCCUGUGCCUUGUGCCAGGGACCGGUUUGUUUCCAUUGUCAGCAAACCUUGACUGGCUCCAAACAUUUUCAAUCAGGUGGUUUCUGAAAGAGGGAGAGACUGAGGGGAAAGUGAUGAUGUGGUCCCUCUGAAGAGGGUUUAGCUUUCAGAGGUAUGGCAGGGGUGGGGCGGACAGCCAGAGGGAUGUGACUUUGAGAAGCCAACUCACCGGCAGGACCCAGCGAGAUCCAGGCUCGGCGGCUGGAACAAAGAACAUUUUGAACCACACGGGGCUCUGGCAUGUUUGUUGAUCGACUUAUCCAAGGACUGGGCCCGCUGCUUUUGUUCCAGAAGAUUUCAUGGAUUAACUCCCUGGGCUUUGGAAAAUUGUUUCUUUUUUAAGAAAGGGAAGUUUUGAAAAGCAAAUGCUCCUGGGCAGUCUGGGGGUGUGGGGAGUGUUGGCUGGAGUGGGAGGUCACAUUCGCCCCAUGGUGGGAUGGCCAAGGGCUCCCAGCGAGGGAACAGUUGGACCUGUGGUGUCCUGGGGGGAGGGUGCCUCUGAGGGCCCCUAAUGGACAGAGGAGUGUGGACACCUGAGCCUGGGAGCAUCUUGGGCAUUUAGACCAAACCACGGGAAGGACUCCCCAAUGCUGAAGGUUGCUAGGCACUGGGGGAGGUUCCCAGGGAGACUGUGGCUAGAAACACCAUCUGCCAAAGAUGAUUUAGUACCGGAAGAGACAAGGGAUAGAACGAGAUGGUCCUUCCUGUCCCAGUUAAUCUUGGUGCUGUUCAUUCGGGGCUGAGCAUCCCCUCCCUGAAGUGGAAGAGAAGACAGACUUGGCCUUGGGCGGACUCUGAGCGUCUUGUAAAAGGGAGUCCUGCCUCCUUGGCUUUGUCCCCACCCCCUGACCAGGGUCGGAUGUCUUGGGAGCUUGCCGGCUCUCUGCCCACUGUCCUGCCCUGUCAGCAGGUACCAGCAAGCCUGUGUGCCAUGUGGGGUACAGGGAGUCACGGGCAUGUGAUUAAAUACUCAUGCUUUGUCAAAACACUGACAGUUAACAAAAUGCCUCCGCCUCUACUCAGGGAAGGGUGAGCAAGGAGGAAAAUGACUUCAAUAUGCAAAAGACAUUCCAAGGAGUCCAGGAGGGAAUGCUAAUUCUAGAGCCAGGAGGGAGUAAUGGGAAUUAGUUCUUGAUUUAUAGACUGACUGAAAGAAAUCAGCUAGGUUAAACGUGCCUAAAUUCUGCUAUCUGAGUAUGUGCUUAAGGAGAUGGGCUCAAUGAACUUUGAAAGGCUGUCUCUUCUCUAGUGAUGGGAGUGACAGUGAAGUUCCUGAUGAAGGAAGGUUUAGGGUGGAAGAAUUCUGAGCCCCUGGGUUCUGGAUUCAAAAUCACACACAGCCCUCUAGACAACACAGAGGUACAGUCUUUGUGGGUAAUUUGAAAAACGAGAAUGGUGAUUGUCUAUUUAGGACAGGUUUGGGUACAGCCACUCAGGGAAGCCAGGAACCAGCUUCUAACCGUGGAAGCUUUGUGUUUUCUGUGUAAACUGUCCUUGACUGUGGACAAAGAAUGGGUACCCAGUGUUCAGUUGGCAUCAUAAUAGGGAACAGAAUUCUACACAGAUGGUUCAACGGAACAGAGUUUUCUGAGGGGCAUAUUCACAGAGGGGUAAGGAGACCAGCAACGGAUAUCGAGGCACUCAGGGCUAAACGUAGAGGGGAGCUGUUACCGCCUUAAGGCCUGAGGAGGAAGGGGAGAAAAUACUGUUUGGGGGGCCUGGUGGCAGCUGGAGCAGGGAGGAGGACCAUGAGGGUGAAACCAUAGUCGUGGAAGGAUGUUGUCACUGCCAGGACCAAGGCACCAAGUUACCCUUCUGAUAAGAGGAAAUUUGUGUCAAGUCACAUAGAAUCACUGAAUAUUUGCACUUGGAGGAUCACCUGGCCUAAUUCUUCUGCGCCAAACAUGAAGAUGCUGAAGGAGAGAAGUUAAAGAACUUGUCCAAAAUUGCACAACUAGUUAGUAAUAAAGUUUGGAUGGAAAUCUG